AGCACAAGUAUGGAUGAUUAUCCUACUCCUUCCGUUUCAGAUUUUAAGUUGUUUUGAUUUUGGUUAAAGUUAAACUAUUAAACUAAGUUUGUAAAUAAAUAUAGUAAUAUUUACAACAAAGAAUUAAUAUCAUUAAUUAAAUCUAUAGUUGAAUAUAU
rnacentral:snRNA from 1 species